CCUUAUCACUUCUUCUCGCCCGGU
rnacentral:miRNA from 9 species